UAUGGCUAUUCAGGAGGGUAUCCAUGAUCAAUACAGACUAAAUACAAUGCACUACUCUAGCCUGGCUCAUUCCCAACCCUAUGUACAGCAUGGAAGAUGGGGGGGAGGUGCUGACAUAACACAAUAGCAAGAAAUAUAUUUAACAGCUCCAGAUCCAGAAACAAUACAUACCCAAAAGAAAACACUGUUUAAUAACGGUUAAAGUUUAUAUAGCAAAAAAUAGUUUAAAUUUAAGGUAAGUCAGGCAAAAUGUACAAAGACCCAAUAUACAUUGUGAAAUUUUUGCAAACAUAACAUACAUUUUGGUUCCGUUCUGUAAACUAAAUAAAACAUGUAAAUAUUGCAUGUGCCUUUUUUUGAAAUGUACAGGAUAGAGGAAAAUUCAGUAUAUAUUAUCAGCUUCUUGGCUGCUCAUUUAGGCUGCACGGGGCGUGGGGAGCGCCAGCUGAGGUUCCCUUCCGGCCCACGGUGCUGCGCCCACCGAUUCCUAACGAGAGAAAGCUCCAGAACAUUCUACACAUCUUAGCAAAGCGUAUCAUACAUGGAGUCGGCCUUCAAACCAACUAUGCAUGGCUGCGACGCGUAGCUCAGAGAAGCAAAACCUCAGAAAUGGUCAGGAGCACUUUACAUUCAACUUCGUCUUGCAGUACAGUCCUCGCUUCUAAAGAGUUCAGCACGAAAGCAGGAAGACUUUUGCAUUGCCAUUAAAUACAUCUUAAGACAUUGAAAUUUUUGGUCUUCCUCUACAAAGCCUCAUUAAUGCAUUACUCUAUAAUGAUAUAGAUCUAUAUAUUUAUAUAUAUAUAUAAUAUUUUUUUCUCCAAAACAAAAAGUAACAACAGAAGAAACCAAUGAACAAGUCACAUCUCCAAGAAUUAGUGGGGCCUCUACAGGACGACAGGGGAGACAGGCACUGGGGCGGGGUCCAGCCACGAGUCCGGAGCCUCUGGGACAGGGAUGGCUUCCGUUGCGGCCACCACACUGGCAUCUCCAGAACACUGACCAGAGAAGCAGGGUGCCCCUCCUGUCGAGGGUUUCUCUGACAAGCACGGCGUCCUGCAAGACUGCUUUCCUUCUUUAUCUUUCCCAUGACCAGCGAGGGAGCCAGAAUGCGCUCUCUCUCUCUCAAUUCAGGGUAGCCUUGGUGGCCAACAUCAGACUGGCAUAUUUAAAGAUCAUAAUACAUUUUAAACACAAAAUCUGCCAAACCCAGACCAGCCUGGAAUCGCUUGCUGCCCACAUGCACUUUUGGUUAAGGAAAGGCCAGUCCUCGGCGGGACAACAGACAGCUGAGCCAGUGGCAGUGGCUUCUGCCUGCAGAGGUACCUGCCUGGCGUCCAUGCAGCAGUCAGGGGUCAAGAGCUCUCCAUGCCCUCCGGGGCCUCUCUCCACCCCAUGCUCUGACACUGAGGGGCUGCAGAGACACCAACUACUCUGUGGCUCUGUCUUCCAAGUUCAAUCCCAGGUCUCCCCACAUAGAGUGACUGCAGUCCCGCUAUGCUCUUCCAAAGCCAGAGUUGCAGGGGGGAUGCGGCCACCGCCGAAGACAGGGAAACACGGCCCGACUCCGGAGUCCCUCCCUCGGGCAACUUAGGCGCAAAACUCAAAGCCAAACUCCAGCCACAGCAUGGGUGCAGGAGCAGCAGUGGCCGGAGAGCAGGGUCCGGGUCCUGGUCGGGCAGGGGGCAGCCGGUGAGGAGCCAGGAAACCGCAGGCAGCUUCGGGCGGGCGGCCAGGAAACAUUUGGGAUGCAUCCCCUCCGCCAGCCAGUGCAGCCAACGCCACUCCGCUUCACUCUGGAAGAGAAAGCAGAGGUCUUUGGAGCCGGACCACGCGUGGCACCCAUGUCUGCCCAGAUACCAGGGUGCCCGACAUGCGCAGGCCUCCAC
rnacentral:lncRNA from 1 species